rnacentral:rRNA from 1 species
UGGCGAACGGGUGAGUAACACGUGGGUGAUCUGCCCUGCACUCUGGGAUAAGCCUGGGAAACUUGGUCUAAUACCGGAUAGGACCAUGCUUUAGUGUGUGUGGUGGAAAGUUUUUUCGGUGUAGGAUGAGCCCGCGGCCUAUCAGCUUGUUGGUGGGGUAAUGGCCUACCGAGGCGGCGACGGGUAGCCGGACUGAGAGGUUGGUCGGCCACAUUGGGACUGAGAUACGGCCCAG